rnacentral:rRNA from 1 species
AGAGUUUGAUCCUGGCUCAGGACGAACGCUGGCGGCGCGCCUAAUCCAUGCAAGUCGAGCGACGCAUUCCUUAGCCCGUAAGGGCGGGUUUGACGGAGCGGCGAACGGGUGCGUAACACGUGACCAAUCUGCCCCGAAGACCGGGAUAGCCCGGGGAAACCCGGAUUAAUACCGGAUGAUCUCACCACCACGCAUGUGGAGGUGAGCAAAGGCUCAGGCGCUUCGGGAUGAGGUCGCGGCCCAUCAGCUUGUUGGUGAGGUAACGGCUCACCAAGGCAAUUACGGGUAGCUGGUCUGAGAGGACGAUCAGCCACACUGGAACUGAGAUACGGUCCAGACUCCUACGGGAGGCAGCAGGAGGGAAUCUUGCGCAAUGGGCGAAAGCCUGACGCAGCGACGCCGCGUGGGGGAUGAAUGCCUUAGGGUUGUAAACCCCUUUCACGAGGGAAGAAACUGACGGUACCUCGAGAAGAAGCCCCGGCCAACUACGUGCCAGCAGCCGCGGUAAUACGUAGGGGGCGAGCGUUGUCCGGAUUUAUUGGGCGUAAAGGGCUCGUAGGCGGCUUGGCAAGUCGGCCGUGAAAACCCAGGGCUCAACUCUGGGACGCCGGUCGAUACUGCCAUGGCUAGGGUCCGGUAGANGGGAAUGGAAUUCCCGGUGUA